ACGGCUCAGUAACACGUGGACAACCUGCCCUUAGGUUGGGUAUAAACCCGGGAAACUGGGUAUAAUACCCGAUAGGUCUCGAUUGCUGGAAUGCAUCGAGAUUUAAAGCUCCGGCGCCUAAGGAUGGGUCUGCGGCCUAUCAGGUAGUAGUGGGUGUAGCGUACCUACUAGCCUACGACGGGUACGGGUUGUGAGAGCAAGAGCCCGGAGAUGGAUUCUGAGACACGAAUCCAGGCCCUACGGGGUGCAGCAGGCGCGAAAACUUUACAAUGCUGGCAACAGCGAUAAGGGAACCUCGAGUGCCAGGUUACAAAUCUGGCUGUCGAGAUGCCUAAAAAGCAUUUCAUAGCAAGGGCCGGGCAAGACCGGUGCCAGCCGCCGCGGUAACACCGGCGGCUCGAGUGGUAACCGUUAUUAUUGGGUCUAAAGGGUCUGUAGCCGGCCGGAUAAGUCUCUUGAGAAAUCUGGCAGCUUAACUGUCAGGCUUUCAGGAGAUACUGUCUGGCUCGAGGCCGGGAGAGGUGAGAGGUACUUCAGGGGUAGGGGUGAAAUCUUGUAAUCCUUGAAGGACCACCAGUGGCGAAGGCGUCUCACCAGAACGGACCUGACGGCAAGGGACGAAAGCUAGGGGCACGAACCGGAUUAGAUACCCGGGUAGUCCUAGCCGUAAACGAUACUCGCUAGGUGUCGGCCACGGUGCGACCGUUGUCGGUGCCGCAGGGAAGCCGUGAAGCGAGCCACCUGGGAAGUACGGCCGCAAGGCUGAAACUUAAAGGAAUUGGCGGGGGAGCAC
rnacentral:rRNA from 1 species